AGUGAACGCUGGCGGUAGGCCUAACACAUGCAAGUCGAACGGCAGCACAGUAAGAGCUUGCUCUUACGGGUGGCGAGUGGCGGACGGGUGAGGAAUACAUCGGAAUCUACUUUUUCGUGGGGGAUAACGUAGGGAAACUUACGCUAAUACCGCAUACGACCUACGGGUGAAAGCAUGGGAUCUUCGGACCUUGCGCGAUUGAAUGAGCCGAUGUCGGAUUAGCUAGUUGGCGGGGUAAAGGCCCACCAAGGCGACGAUCCGCAGCUGGUCUGAGAGGAUGAUCAGCCACACUGGAACUGAGACACGGUCCAGACUCCUACGGGAGGCAGCAGUGGGGAAUAUUGGACAAUGGGCGCAAGCCUGAUCCAGCCAUACCGCGUGGGUGAAGAAGGCCUUCGGGUUGUAAAGCCCUUUUGUUGGGAAAGAAAAGCAGCAGGUUAAUACCCCGCUGUUCUGACGGUACCCAAAGAAUAAGCACCGGCUAACUUCGUG
rnacentral:rRNA from 1 species